UCACUUCUCUUCCUUCACAUCCAGAACCACUGAUUGUCUGGGUCACUCACUCAAAGUCGGUAGUAACUAAUUGGCUCUUAAAUAGUGGAGUGGGCAUUGAGCUGCAGAAUGCAAUCACAUCAUACUUUACACUAACAACCCUUGAGCUGUUAUACAUGUGUUAUUUAGAGAAAUGGAUAUAUCUCUGGGAACCACAAGCCUACAGUUUAUGAGAGUAAGCAAACAAGCCAAGAAUUGAGAAAAAACAAAAGAAGAGUUCUUCAGUAACAUUUGGGUCAAGAAAAACAAGAGAGGAAGCCGGACUCAGUGGAGAGAAGACGACCUGAUUUCCAGUCCAGACAUUGAUACAUUCAAGCUGCGUGUACAGGAGCAAAUCACUCAAUCUCUCAGUGUCCUCAGAAAGACAAACAAGCAUUUAUUAGGGCACUUAAUAUGUUCUAGAUCAGAAAAGUUAAACUCCCUGCAAAAUACCCAAGUGCAGGCCAGAAUGACAUCAAAAUGUAAUUGGGAAA